AACGAACGCUGGCGGCGUGGAUUAGGCAUGCAAGUCGAACGCGAAAGAGGGGGGAAACCCCUCAAGUAGAGUGGCGAACGGGUGAGUAACGCGUGAAGAACCUGCCUUCAACAGGGGGAUAACACUCCCAACGGGGUGCUAAUACCGCAUGAGACCACGGAGCUGCAUAGCUCUGAGGUCAAAGGUGGCCUCUAUUUAUAAGCUACCGGUUGAAGAUGGCUUCGCGUCCCAUAGCUAGUUGGCGGUGUAACGGACCACCAAGGCGACGAUGGGUAGCUGGUCUGAGAGGAUGGUCAGCCACACUGGGACU
rnacentral:rRNA from 1 species